UGGGGAAUAUUGCACAAUGGGCGCAAGCCUGAUGCAGCCAUGCCGCGUGUAUGAAGAAGGCCUUCGGGUUGUAAAGUACUUUCAGCGGGGAGGAAGGGAGUAAAGUUAAUACCUUUGCUCAUUGGCGUUACCCGCAGAAGAAGCACCGGCUAACUCCGUG
rnacentral:rRNA from 1 species